GAUCAAAUAUUUAAAGAGUAAUAAUUGAUAAAAUAGAUAUUUUAUUAAGCACAAAGAAUGAUAACAUGGUGUAAGGAGUAGCAAACUGUGAGAGUCAAAUGCUCUACUUUUUGUUUUGUUUUGUUUUGUUUUGUUUUUUCGAGACAGAGUUUCUCUGUAUAGCCCUGGCUGUCCUGUAACUCAUUUUGUAGACCAGGCUGGCCUCGAACUCAGAAUUCCGCCUGCCUCUGCCUCCCAAGUGCUGGGAUUAAAGGCGUGUACCACCACCGCCUGGCUAAAUGCUGUACUUUUAAAAUAUUAUUUAUUUAUUUUUAUUUAUACGAAUACACUGUAGCUGCUUUCAGACACACUAGAUUAGGGCAUCAGAUCCCAUUACAGAUGGUUGUGAGCCACCAUGAGGGUGCUGGGAUUUGAACUCAGGACCUCUGGAAAAGCAGUCAGUGCUCUUAACCGCAGAGUCAUCUAUCCAGCCCUCUACUUUUUUUUAAUGCAAUCUAAAUAAUUUUUGUAUCAUUUUCUGUGCUGGGGCGGAACCCAAGGCUUUUCCAUACAUGCUGCUCAGGCCAGUGCUCUGCUCCCUAAGCUACACCCCAGCACUGCUUCAUGUGGUUGGAGGAAAGAAUGAGAUUUCAUGGUAAAUGAAAAUCACAUAAAGUUCAGGACCUACCGGGUCAUCCAGCUGUAAUCUCUAUCUUUUACUUCCUCAAUCCAGCUAGCUUCACACUGCAGUUUCUCCUGUUACUCCCAUCAUCAAAACCCUAGCUAAAACUCUGUCUUUAACCCUGUCCUUGGGGGGAUGGAGGUCUAAGUCCAGUGAUGGAGUACUUGUCUGGCAUGUUCGGGAUGAUGGCUCUCCUCCUUAGUACUGGGGGAAAGCCAAACCUGCUUCGAACUUCGUUAGCAGCCCAGUUCUCAUUUAAAAACAGUGAACACAAGCCUUCCUUUGUCUGGUGCACACUGCCCUCUUCUUUCAGGCAUCUUAGAGUCCAGUCAAAUCAUUUGCUGGUUUCCCACUGCUGGCUAGAAAUGUCUCUCCUGUAUUUUCCUGCAAGGUGGUUAUUCCGAGUCUCUUUCUUGAGAAUCCCACCCAUUCUGCGUCCUUCUGUGUAAACCCCCUUAGCCUCCACCAAACCAUCAUCUCAUUGUAUGGGAAGACUGUCAGGCAAGACCGGUUUGAGUCUGGUAACAGCUCCCGAUCCAUGCAGGAGGAGCUCAGGCCCAAGUGUUAAGUUGUGCAAACAGGUCAGUUUUGAGGUAGGUUACCCUGGAAAUCCCAAAUUCAAAUGAUUUUAAAAAGAAAAAAAAAAAAAAAGCCAAUGAAAAGAAAGGUGGCAAAGGCAGGGCAGUGGUGGUGCACGCCUUUAAUCUCAGCACUUGGGAGGCAGAGGCAGAGGCAGGCGAAUUUCUGAGUUCAAGGCCAGAGGCUAGCCUGGUCUAAAUGAGUUCCAGGACAGCCAGGGCUACAUAGAGAAACCCUGUCUCGAAAAACCAAAAAUAUAAAAAAAAGAAAGGUGACAAAGGACAAAACUCUAGGUGAAUGUUGAGGGUAAAGCCAAUGCUAGAGGGCUCAGGGGCAAGUUACAGUGACCGGAGGUGAUAACGCAGGAGCAGAGGUCAUGAAAGUGAGGUGGGGCGUCCACCUCUAAAGUAAGUUUUCAUUUAUUUUAUGUACCAUGUGUGUGCCUGGUGCCCAGAAGAGGAUGCUGGGGUCCCUGAACUAGAUAGAGUUCCUGACUGUUGUGAACCAAAUCCUAGCCCUCUACAGGAGCAGCAAAUGCUCUUAUCUGCUGAGCUGUCUCUCUAGCCUCUGAGUCUUUACAGUUUAGAACAGAGUAUUGCUCAGUUGCACAGGCUUGUCUCAAACUCCAGAUAGUCCUGAUACACUGCCCCCGUCUCUGGAGUAACAGAAUCACAGAUAGCAGUAUGCUUGGUGGAACGUUGAAUUGUAUUUAUUUUGAGAUGCUUUAAUUUAAAUUGCAUGUAUUUUGUGUGUGUGUGUGUGUGUGCGCGCGCACAUGCACGUGCAUACUUGUGCACACAUGCAUGGAUGCACACAUGCCUAUGGAAGUCAAAGGAUGACUUCCGGGAGGUGGUUUGCUCCUUCCACAGUAUGGGUCCUGGGAUUGAAUUAAGGUUGUCAGGCAAGGUAGCAAGCACCUUUCCACGCCUGAGCAGUCUUGCCAGCCCUGAAUACAGGAUUCAGAUACCUAUGUUUGAUACAGGUCCUUGUCAUGUAGCUCUGGCUGUCCUGGAACGCACAAAGAUCCACUUGCCUCUGCUUGGAUGAAAGGUGUGCUCCGCCACGCCAGGAUAGGAGGGUUCAUUAGGAUCUUAUCUGACAAAUUCUGAAUCAGUUCCUAGGACCCACUCAUGGUUCAAAAGACAUCCUCUCUAAAUUUAAAAAACAUUUUAUAAAAGUGAGUCCCAAGGUAGCAGUUCUGUGCUGGCCCGAGGUAUGAUGCCAGGCUCACGUUUACCUCUGCUCUCUGCUCUCCUUGUGAGGCUGGUUUUACUCCUAUAAAUGCCUGCUGUCAGGCAGCAAGGGGCAGGCUGAGCUGUGACAUGGGACAUGUUUUAACUGCUGUCCUUGUGUGUGUUUGUGAUUGUGUGUGCAGCUGUGCGUGGAGGUUAUAGUUCUUCCUCAGUCACUCUCUACCUUAGUUUUGGGGACAGGGUCUCUCACUGGAAACUGAUCAGUCCAGUUAGUCUGACUGGCCUGCAUACUCCAGAGUCCCUCCUGUCCUCACACCUCCACUGCUGGGGUGGGGUACAGGGGUGACUGGCGCACCACCUGCCGUGAGUGCUGGCGACAGAACUCAGUCCUCAGAUUUGCCAGCAAACACGGUACCUUCUCCCCGGGCCUGAAAGACAGUAGCUUUCAUGGGAUGCCCUCUUCCUGGGAAAGCUGGUUGCAUGUAAUUGACACCAAUUCUGCUGCUGGGUCUCCCAAAGUGCCAAGAAAAUAUGAGAAUGAUUUAUAAUACCGUAUAUUUCUACCUUCAAUAAAAUUAGGCUCAUGUUAGGAAACAGGAAGACUACUAAGACAAUGAAGAUGCCGGGCAUGGUGGUGUAUGCUUUUAACCUUAGAACUCAGGAGGCAGAGGCAGCUGAAUCGGGGAGUGUGAGGCUACCCUGGUCUAUAGAGAGCGUUCCAGGCCACUGAGGACUAUACAGUAAGACCCUACCUUAAAAUAAAUAAAU
rnacentral:lncRNA from 1 species